AGGAUGAACGCUGGCGGCGUGCUAAUACAUGCAAGUCGAGCGAACAGAUAAGGAGCUUGCUCCUUUGAAGUUAGCGGCGGACGGGUGAGUAACACGUGGGUAACCUACCUAUAAGACUGGGAUAACUUCGGGAAACCGGAGCUAAUACCGGAUAACAUUUAGAACCGCAUGGUUCUAAAGUGAAAGAUGGUUUUGCUAUCACUUAUAGAUGGACCCGCGCCGUAUUAGCUAGUUGGUAAGGUAACGGCUUACCAAGGCGACGAUACGUAGCCGACCUGAGAGGGUGAUCGGCCACACUGGAACUGAGACACGGUCCAGACUCCUACGGGAGGCAGCAGUAGGGAAUCUUCCGCAAUGGGCGAAAGCCUGACGGAGCAACGCCGCGUGAGUGAUGAAGGGUUUCGGCUCGUAAAACUCUGUUAUUAGGGAAGAACAAAUGUGUAAGUAACUGUGCACAUCUUGACGGUACCUAAUCAGAAAAGCCACGGCUAACUACGUGCCAGCAGCCGCGGUAAUACGUAGGUGGCAAGCGUUAUCCGGAAUUAUUGGGCGUAAAGCGCGCGUAGGCGGUUUCUUAAGUCUGAUGUGAAAGCCCACGGCUCAACCCGUGGAGGGUCAUUGGAAACUGGGAAACUUGAGUGCAGAAGAGGAAAGUGGAAUUCCAUGUGUAGCGGUGAAAUGCGCAGAGAUAUGGAGGAACACCAGUGGCGAAGGCGACUUUCUGGUCUGUAACUGACGCUGAUGUGCGAAAGCGUGGGGAUCAAACAGGAUUAGAUACCCUGGUAGUCCACGCCGUAAACGAUGAGUGCUAAGUGUUAGGGGGUUUCCGCCCCUUAGUGCUGCAGCUAACGCAUUAAGCACUCCGCCUGGGGAGUACGACCGCAAGGUUGAAACUCAAAGGAAUUGACGGGGACCCGCACAAGCGGUGGAGCAUGUGGUUUAAUUCGAAGCAACGCGAAGAACCUUACCAAAUCUUGACAUCCUUUGAAAACUCUAGAGAUAGAGCUUUCCCCUUCGGGGGACAAAGUGACAGGUGGUGCAUGGUUGUCGUCAGCUCGUGUCGUGAGAUGUUGGGUUAAGUCCCGCAACGAGCGCAACCCUUAAGCUUAGUUGCCAUCAUUAAGUUGGGCACUCUAGGUUGACUGCCGGUGACAAACCGGAGGAAGGUGGGGAUGACGUCAAAUCAUCAUGCCCCUUAUGAUUUGGGCUACACACGUGCUACAAUGGACAAUACAAAGGGCAGCUAAACCGCGAGGUCAUGCAAAUCCCAUAAAGUUGUUCUCAGUUCGGAUUGUAGUCUGCAACUCGACUACAUGAAGCUGGAAUCGCUAGUAAUCGUAGAUCAGCAUGCUACGGUGAAUACGUUCCCGGGUCUUGUACACACCGCCCGUCACACCACGAGAGUUUGUAACACCCGAAGCCGGUGGAGUAACCAUUUAUGGAGCUAGC
rnacentral:rRNA from 1 species